rnacentral:rRNA from 1 species
AUUGAACGCUGGCGGCAGGCCUAACACAUGCAAGUCGAGCGGGGUGAUGGUGCUUGCACUAUCACUUAGCGGCGGACGGGUGAGUAAUGCUUAGGAAUCUGCCUAUUAGUGGGGGACAACAUCUCGAAAGGGAUGCUAAUACCGCAUACGUCCUACGGGAGAAAGCAGGGGAUCACUUGUGACCUUGCGCUAAUAGAUGAGCCUAAGUCGGAUUAGCUAGUUGGUGGGGUAAAGGCCUACCAAGGCGACGAUCUGUAGCGGGUCUGAGAGGAUGAUCCGCCACACUGGGACUGAGACUCGGCCCAGACUCCUACGGGAGGCAGCAGUGGGGAAUAUUGGGCAAUGGGGGGAACCCUGAUCCAGCCAUGCCGCGUGUGUGAAGAAGGCCUUAUGGUUGUAAAGCACUUUAAGCGAGGAGGAGGCUCUUUUGGUUAAUACCCAAGAUGAGUGGACGUUACUCGCAGAAUAAGCACCGGCUAACUCUGUGCCAGCCGCCGCAGUAA